rnacentral:rRNA from 1 species
GACAGAGGGUGCAAACGUUGUUCGGAAUUACUGGGCGUAAAGCGCGUGUAGGCUGCUUCGCAAGUCGGGUGUGAAAGCCCUGGGCUCAACCUAGGAAGUGCACUCGAAACUGCGAAGCUUGAGUCCUGGAGAGGAAGGCGGAAUUCUCGGUGUAGAGGUGAAAUUCGUAGAUAUCGAGAGGAACAUCGGUGGCGAAGGCGGCCUUCUGGACGGUGACUGACGCUGAGACGCGAAAGCGUGGGGAGCAAACAGG